UACGAAGGGGGCUAGCGUUGCUCGGAAUCACUGGGCGUAAAGCGCACGUAGGCGGAUUGCUAAGUCAGGGGUGAAAUCCCGGAGCUCAACUCCGGAACUGCCUUUGAUACUGGCGACCUUGAGUCCGGGAGAGGUGAGUGGAACUGCGAGUGUAGAGGUGAAAUUCGUAGAUAUUCGCAAGAACACCAGUGGCGAAGGCGGCUCACUGGCCCGGUACUGACGCUGAGGUGCGAAAGCGUGGGGAGCAAACAGG
rnacentral:rRNA from 1 species